AUGAAAUCUAGAUUGACUUAAUUGUGGUCAAUAGUUUGAAGAGGGCAGAUGGGGUCAUGAGAAAAUCGUAAAGAAACAUGCUUUUGGCUUUUGCUUAAGGGUUAAGUCUAGAAAGGAGCGGGAUCACGAGGAAUUCCCAACCUAGAAACAGACCCAGUUGCAUAAGAAUAUGAUGUGAUACAUGGGUCAUGGUCAUGACUCAGCAUCACAGAGUUUGAAAUUCUGGAGGUGGGUGUUUUGAAAUUGGGCGGUAAGUGUUGAAAGCGAGAGGUUGUUGUCUGUGAUGGUGGUGGACACGGCACUGCUUUCUUUGUUUGGGUUUGGAAUGACUUUUGGGGCUGAUGGGCAUGCCCAAAAAGUCCAAGGGCUGAAGCCCAAUGCAAGGAGUUUUGCUCAGUUUGCCUUUCAGGAAUCGAAAAUAUUUGGGGUUGCCUACCUUCCAUGAGAUCUCCAAUUUUGGGUCAGUUUGAUUUUUGUUUUCCUUAUCAUUUUAAGUUCUUUUUACUUACUUCUUAGUAGAAUAUUGGUCUAUAAGAUGAUAUGCUAUCUGUCCUCAUUCAGAUUUGAAAUGACAAUGAAAAUAGUGAUCAGAAAUUGUGAUUUUUGAGGAAGGGAUCUUUCAGAAGAGUAGAACUAUCUGGGUUUCAACAUAUUUUCUGAUUUAGAAGGGUAGAAACUAGACUUUCGUCUGUCUUUUUUUUUUCUUCACCAAAUUGGGAAGUCAUGAACCCCAGAUGGAUUUUCUGGGAUUUCAUCUGAUUUCGCACUGCAUUCAAGGGUACUGACUCCAUAAUUCAGAUAUGUCUGUCAUUGGAAAUUGGAACCAUCAUCACCACCAACAGUUUUAGGAUGUCGAGACAUGGUUCUGUAACCCAUUUCGUGUUGGUUAUAUGCAUUUUCAAGCCAUUCAAGGACCAGGCUCCAAGCAUCACUUUGAUGGAGGGCUUCAAUAAUAGCAGCCUGAAAAGGAAUUUCCAUUAAUAUUCAAUAGCUUUAGGAUCUUUGUUGCUGUGAAUGACAAGUAAAUAAUGCCAAGAAAGAGACACGUACUCACAAAGAAAUACGGUAUGGAAUCAGAUGAAUAUAAUGAUAAAAACAUGCUCAGAAUUUCCCGUUGUGGUGUGUAGAAGAUGCUUCUCGAAUCAAACCGAGGGAAGGAGUGCUGUUGAGGACAAAGAAGCUGUAGCCGUGGUUCUAUGAAUAAUGAAAUAGCACUUGAAGCUGAACCUGUACUACUAUUAUCUAACCAAAAUUCUUUGGGUCAUAUACCAUUGCUAGGCCGAUUGUCGGUGGUGUGGGUCUUGUGGUUAUUAACAUUGGAGUACCAGAAAUGGCUGGGCCUUCCCAAACGAUGGAAGAAGUUCAAUAUGAUUUCUCCAGUGAGUAUCAUGUCAUGAUAGAGGAGAUACACCAUGACAGGCUUUUGUCAAAUUGGUACUAUUAUCUGAACAGUAUGGGAAGGGUGUGUUCAUUGGCACUUCAUGCUUAUAUGAUAAGAAUAUCUUGAAAAGAACUCCAAACACCGAUAUUCUCUAUGGAAUCUGUUCAUUCCAAAGAAAGUAUAGAGCAACUUUUGGGGCAAAAAUUUUUUUUUUCUCUUCUUAGGAAGAGAAUAAGUUUCUCUAUUCCCUCUACUUCUUCAUCUCUUUGAAAGGUAUUUUGGUGCUUCUAAAUGUGGUUUCUCCAAAACAACAUCAAACCCUUUUAAUUGGAAAGGUGUGCAAGUUGAUCCAUUGAACCUAAGCUUGUGUUUCUUCAAUUUUUUGUUUUAGAGCCUUAAGCAUGGCUUGAUGACCUCUUGUAGAGUUAUCUUUUGCUGAUUAGUUGAGUCUCCAUUGAAGUCCCAUGACCUUUCUCUUCUUAUGAUGGAGUUUACAAUUGAAUUUCCCGUUGACUGUUUCUUUUCCUCGUUUUCUUUCAUUACUAUUUGAGAUUUUUAUUAAUUAUAGGAGAUUUAUCUAUAGUUUGCUACCAUAUAGAGUCCAGAAAGUAUCACUUCCAAACAAACUGGCAUUUUAAUCCUUGGGUCAGUGCUUAGUGGUAAUGCUCAUUUUGCUUCUCCUCACUCUUAGAGAGACUAAUUUAUCUCUGCAAUUGUCCAUUACUCCGUAGUUCCAUUCCUUAAAUCCUUUACAUCUGUUGCUUUUUUAUCCAAUUGAGAUACAUCUGAGAGCAUUUUUAAGUUAUUAACAAUUCACAGCAUUGUUACCUGACCAGUUGGGGUUUGCAACAUAAAUUCUCCAAAUCCAGUUUUCUUAGAAGCAACAUCUUCAUUAUAUGUGCAAAACUUGAGUUAUUAGAAUCUAUCCACAUCCAUUUAAGCUCCAUUAUGCCAUUUCUCCUCGCUGAGUAUGCAUUUUUCUUUGAAUUUUGAAUAAGCUUAAUUGCUGCCAGAAUUUCACUCACUGUUUAAGGCACAUGGCAUCCUUUAGGAUCAAAUUCAUGCACACUUGUUUGGAAAUACCCAUUCUGUAGCAUUCUCUCAGUUCACUGUAACUAGACUGUCAUCAUCCCAAUGAAUGAAGUCUUCCUGAGGAUUUCCAGAACGUGUGUGGAAGGACAUUGGCUGCCAAAGGGCAGCUUAAUAAGAUUGUAAGCACACUUGGCUUCCUGCCCUCCAGCCUUUGGUGCAUUGCAGACUUGAUUUUGGAACCUGAAAUUGCAAGUUUCAUGGUCACCAUCAUUCUCGUUUCUAUUCGAACUGUCUGGCUACCGAGUAUGUAAAGUGUGUUAUAACCAUGUAGUGUAAUUGUUGGCACCUAGGGGUAUGUAUUGAAUGAUGACCAUGCUGCUUGAAAAGAGAUGUUAUCUGUGCAGAGGAAAAAAUUGAGUCUGUUUUCAUCAGUUUCAUAUUCAUGGUACAUCUUUCAUGUUAGAAUUUCUUCAAUGAAGAUUGCCGAAUUUUAAAGUUCA